GAUGAACGCUGGCGGCGUGCCUAAUACAUGCAAGUCGAGCGAACGUACGAGACGCUUGCUUCUCUGAUGUUAGCGGCGGACGGGUGAGUAACACGUGGAUAACCUACCUAUAAGAAUGGGAUACUUUCGGGAAACCGUAGCUAAUACCGGAUGAUAUUUUGAACCGCAUGGUUCCCACGUGGAAGACGGUCUUGCUGUCACUUAUAGCUGGCUACGCACUGCAUUCGCUAGUUGGUAAGGUAACGGCUUAGCAACGCAACGAUGGAUAGCCGACCUGAGAGGGUGAUCGGCCACAUGGGAACAGAGACACGGUCCACACUCCUACGGGAGGCAGCAGUAGGGAAUCUUCCGCAAUGGGCGAAAGCCUGACGGAGCAACGCCGCGUGAGUGAUGAAGGUCUACGGAUCGUAAAACGCUGUUAUUAGGGAAGAACAUAUGUGUAAGUAACUGUGCUCAUCUUGACGGUACCUAAUCAGAAAGCCACGGCUAACUACGUG
rnacentral:rRNA from 1 species